rnacentral:misc_RNA from 1 species
AAGUCGUAACAAGGUUUCCGUAGGUGAACCUGCGGAAGGAUCAUUAACAAAUAGUCCUUAUGGAUUAUAAUCCAUACCCACCUUGUGUGCACUGUAAACUGUUUUAUUUCUGUUUUCCUCUUCUCUUCUUCUUUCUGGGUUAAAAUGUGUUAAGAACCUUGAUUGUGUUUUUCAAUGCAUUUGGCCGAGGAGAGAGGGUUUAAGGGAGGGGAGAGCAGAAUACCUUACAAACCUAUUGUUUAAUUAUACCUUGUCUGAAGUAAAAACUUUUGUGAAAACAAAAAUUUAAAUACAACUUUCAACAACGGAUCUCUUGGCUCCC